rnacentral:rRNA from 1 species
UACAGAGGGUGCGAGCGUUUGUCCGGAAUCACUGGGCGUAAAGGGCGCGUAGGUGGCGACCCAAGUCGAUGGCGAAAGCUCGCCGCUCAACGGCGAGUCGGCCACCGAUACUGGGUUGCUGGAGCACUGUAGAGGCAGAUGGAAUUCCGGGUGUAGCGGUGGAAUGCGUAGAGAGUCCGGGAAGAACACCGGUGGCGAAGGCGGUCUGCUGGGCAGU